UACGUAGGGUGCGAGCGUUAAUCGGAAUUACUGGGCGUAAAGCGUGCGCAGGCGGCUUCGCAAGUCAGGCGUGAAAUCCCCGGGCUUAACCUGGGAAUGGCGUCUGAAACUACGGAGCUGGAGUGUGGCAGAGGGAGGUAGAAUUCCACGUGUAGCGGUGAAAUGCGUAGAUAUCAGGAGGAACACCGGUGGCGAAGGCGGGUCUCUGGGCAGUAACUGACGCUGAGGAGCGAAAAGCGUGGGGGAGCGAACAGG
rnacentral:rRNA from 1 species